CUCCCGAACCGGUAUACGGGUGAGAGAAAAGAAAAUAAAAAUAGCCCAGCCAGCAGCACGACAUGUCCUCCAAUCCUGCAGCACCGCCGCCUCCUGCCCGCCCCGCCUCACCGAGCGCCACGGGCCACCCUCUCCGCCGAGCGCCGACACCGCCUACCCGCCUCCCAUUGGGAUCCCCAAGCGUCUGACCCCGGUCGCCUUUCAUCGCCAGUACCUACAGAUCCGGCUGCCCAUCGCCUUCCCGGCUUCCCCGUCGGCUGCACCUCCCAGCGCCGCCACCCCCACCCCUGCCAAGCUCCGCCACUAGAGGAUCUCCACCGCCUGGAUCCACAUCCCCAUGGCCGGAACGGGUCCUCCUCGAGGAGCCGCGCAUCCUCUGCCUGCUCGAACGCUGCACAUAUCAUAUGCUAGGUUGAAUCCCACCGCCUACGACCGUUGCUGCCAUCAGAUCAGGAACAUGCAGGUUUGUAUUGUUUCCAGUGUAUGUUGGUCAUGCAUCGGAUGUCACUCGGUUUCUAGGAAUUUCAAGAUGGCAUCAAAGAAACCAACAAACAAGGAGAGAAAACUUAAACAAGAGAGAUGUAUGAGGAUGCCGGUGUCUCAUCAAACAUGUAUUGUGUGAGGACACUCUUCAUCCGACCUAAUCUUGACGAUCAUCCGCAGGUACACACAUACAUGUUCUUCCUUGCCGCCUCUUGGUUUAGUUCACAUGUCUUGAAUUACUUUGAUCCUUUUGGUGACAUCAAACUGGGUUGCAUAGAAGUAACUGCUAACUGGGUUUGACCUUUGUGAGGAAUCUACAACAACACUUCAAAACUCCGCAAGCUUACGCCUGACCACAUGUCGGAACUCGAUAAUACAACAGUGUACGAUGCACCAGAGGUUCCAAUGGAUAUCUGUCGAAGCGAUGUGGUCAUUAGCACGUAUGCUCACAGUCUCCUGGUAGAGCAUUUUCCCUUAAACGAUGCUACUGUCACAUGAUGCAUAUCAUGGUUUUGCUGGUUGGUAAUUUGACCUGCACAACACUUGCUGAUAUUAUCCUUUCCAGGAUGCGGAAUGAUUCUUCAAUUUGGGGUGCUAACUAUGCUAGCUUCAUAUUGCUGAAUGUAGGAGCUUAUUUUUUUCUUGUUAGUUACUAAAUGAUAUUGGGCAGGGAAUCUGAAUGAACUAUUCUUUCUGAUUCUUGGAGUUACAUGUGUGAUUGCUUAGACUCUUCUAAUACUGUCAUAGUCUUGUUGGUUGCUUGGCUGAAAUAGUUUCUUAUGGGCCUCGUUCUGGACCUGUUCCCACUUAUAUAGAAUAUAUUUUCCACUGGUUUCAUCAAACAAAAAAGUCAUAGACAUUAAAUAUUUAAAGUUUUGUCUUGUUCAUACUUUCUAAAAUCUGAAACUAUACUGAAAUCAUCAUAGAAAUUCUGCAAGUAAGAAUAUUAAAGGUACCCGUGUCAUUCAUCCCUACUAGAUGAUGAAUGCUAUUGCUAUUUUUUUCUCAAAGAUGCCUCAUUUUCAUUAAGAAGAAAGCUCAAUAGACCAAAAUUCCAUAUCAUUUCUUCUUUCUUAAGGAAAACUGUCUAUAGGUAGCAAUCACAGAUGUUCAGCCUAUUUUCAGUUGACAAUAUACUGAAUAAUUUGACAGUGAAAAAGUACAGAAAAUGCUCUUAAGAAAAUGAAUCAAUUCGCGUGGAAAAUAUCUUAGGCAGCAAAUCCACCAGGUUUGAGAUGUUCACAGAAACAUGUCAGUUUUAGGAAACUAUAAUUCAGAAUUGUUUGCCGCACUAUAAUGUUUCAGGCAUUCAGAAACAUUGCCCAUGAUGUUAAUAUGUUGACUAGGGGCCUUUGGUAGCUACUUUAAUGCAAAUUGUAGUACCACAGUGUCCUACUGCUUAUAUUAAAUUGCAAUGUGAAAGUAAAAUAAAACUUAGGAUUUGGUUGUCUAUCUGAUCCAUCAGUAAGCAAGCAAGGGUCAUGUUGUCAGGAAGAGAGUUCAAAAACCAUCAAUCUCAGGAACACUCUGACCAUGUAUUUGACUAUGUUGAAUACCCAAUAUAUGAUAAGAUGCUAUUUUCAUUUGCUAGGCAACCAUGAAAAAGUUUCUUCCCGAUUUAUAAUUUAAAUUAGUCUUGUGUGUUCUUUUAUUCAGUUAUUCUAAUUUUACUCAUGUGUGUUCUUUUAUUUAGUUCUGUGAGGAAGAAGAAGGGAUUACAUCGAUGUGUAAUAUAUUCUUUGUUCUGCAACCAUACCUACAUGAGAUUAUAGUUCAGUUAGAAAUCUGAGAUUAUUUUCCUCCAGAAAUGAGCAUUAGCCCUCAGAACAGAAACGACCUGCACAACUAUCCUCCUACUUAAUUAUUAAUCUGUAUGUUCAUUAUUACAGUAAGUCCAGAAACUGCAUUUGUGUAUUUGUACCAAGCUUCCUUGCUCAUCUUAUUCUGUACGUACCAUUUUGUAUGUCGGAAAGCAAUGGUUUCUAUAUAGAGCUAUAGUUCAUCUAUAUGUUUCUGCUGCCUAUAUAUUAUUCAUGUGUUUCCCUCACCUGCUAUUUGAAUGACAUAAUCCUUCAGAUCUUUCCCAAGUUUGGUGUUAAAGCUAACACGACUCCUCCUUCAUGUAAAUACAACUUUGAACGAAGGAAAGCAAGACAGUGCCGCCUUUAUAUCUUGGAUCACUCCAUAGCAGGGAGCAAGAGUGGCCACAUCCGAGUUUAGAUAUUCAGUCACUGUUUUGCAAUCCAUCCCAAGCUCCACGGGUCCUCUGAAAACUUUUGCCAGAGCAUGUAGCCAAACCAGGGCUUCCUGGGCUUCAUCUUCCUCCACACUAUCGAAAACUGGUAACUGACAGUAUGUCGACAGAUACACUUAGCCUCUGUAAUCCCUGGCUACAGCCCCCACCCAUCCCGGCCACUGAUCUGCUAAAAACUUGCGUCAGUGUUCAACUAGGCUGAGCCCUAUUAGGGUGGAGUCCACUGUAUGGGUGGCAGUGAAGGAGGUAUUUAUGUGGUAAACGACGGGGAUAGUUGUUCCUUUCCCUUCUCUGAACUCUUCUUUUCCAUCGCAUCGCCCAUCUCUUGCUCGUACUUCUGCAGGAAGCUGACAGAGUGCAGGACAUAUUCUUUUCCUAGAUGGACUACUACAACGCACGGGCAUUUUCACAAAGAGAACAUAGGGAUUUUAAGUUUUUUAUAGCAUGCACUGGAGGCUGUAGAGUUAAGUUUUUGUACAUUUUGUGAAUCAUUUUGUUCCAUAUUCUCUUAGUGUAUAUAAUCUAACUAUAGAAGGUUAUUUACUAUCUGCAAAUUUGCCUUUUCCAUUGCUGAUCAUGUCCUCUCUGUGCACUUACAUCCUUAUGUUAAGAGUGUAGUGAUCUAAUGAUUAUUCAGAAGGGAUGUGCAUGUUCCUAGAUGCAUAGCUUUUCUUAUAUACUCCCUUUGUUCCUAAAUAUUUAUCUUUUUAGAUAUUUCAAAUGGACUACCACAUACGGAUGUAUAUAGUCAUAUUUUAGAGUGAAGAUUCACUCAUUUUGCUCCGUAUAUAGUCACUUGUUGAAAUCUCUAGAAAGACAAAUAUUUAGGAACGGAGGGAGUAGAUUUUCAUUACACUGAGAUUUUUUUAAGGGAUAACAAUGGUAUUUAAGAUAGUUUUUUUGUAGUUAUUUUGUAGAAUUCUCAAACUGAAAUCCAAACAAAGCAUACCUUCAAAGGCCAUCAUAAUGGCACUUAAAAUAAAUGCUAAUCUGCACUCAUGCGGCAAUCUGGUGCCCAUUCUUCUGGUGAUUUGGUCAAAGCUACAACCAAGCAAAGAUAUUUUACAUGCUAUAAGAAUUAAGUUAUGGAUUUUUGUGUUCCCAGGUCUAUAAUAUGCGUGCUCUCCUGGUUCCCUGCAAGCUCUUUUGGCCAUGACCUCAAGUUCUGCAGCUAGGCCGUGAAUGUGUUGGUCCUUCUCACCGUCCACUGAUGAUGGGGCCCAAGAGAAGUCAGGGAAGGAGAAAAGGAUGUUGCUAUCGCGUGGUCGUCGGAACAACUUGCCAUGGACACAGCCAUGCACUGGAUGCCAUCGACAGCUAGUCGUGGAUGAGCACCUCGCCGCCUCUGCAAAAUAUGGAUGCACGGGAUUCUGCUACUAACAUUGGGGAGUGUGUACUGUUGCGGUGCUGUGACAUAUACACUCUAUGGAAGAAACCCCUGUUUGAUUUACAGGGGAUGCUGAUUUGGAAUCUACUUUUGACAGAUCAAUCUGGUUUGUUGGCUGCUGGGUGGCUUCAUGUGACGCCGCAGUGCACUAGGGAGAGGUACCGAGGUCCCCAGAGCUACAUGGUUCAUGAUUGGCAAUUGGUCGUGGGCAAUGGAACUAAAAUGUCUACUGAAUGUUCAUGGAUAUCUUAAAAGGAGAACAAUUCAUACUUUAGAUGUACAUAAUAUUUGAUGCAUCAGUCUAAUCUGUAGUUCAAAUUACAGUGUAUGAUUUG